rnacentral:tRNA from 6 species
GCGGCCGUAGUCUAGCCUGGAUUAGGACGCCGGCCUUCCAAGCCGGUGAUCCCGGGUUCAAAUCCCGGCGGCCGCA